UACGUAGGGGGCUAGCGUUAUCCGGAAUUACUGGGCGUAAAGGGUGCGUAGGUGGUUUCUUAAGUCAGAGGUGAAAGGCCACGGCUCAACCGUAGUAAGCCUUUGAAACUGGGAAACUUGAGUGCAGGAGAGGAGAGUGGAAUUCCUAGUGUAGCGGUGAAAUGCGUAGAUAUUAGGAGGAACACCAGUUGCGAAGGCGGCUCUCUGGACUGUAACUGACACUGAGGCACGAAAGCGUGGGGAGCAAACAGG
rnacentral:rRNA from 1 species